CAAAUACUCCCUCUUCCGAAAAUACUUGUCAUCAAAAUGGAUAAAAGGAAAUGUAUCUAGAUGUAUUUUAGUUUUAGGUACAUCUAUUUUUAUCCAUUUUGAUCACAAGUAUUUUCGGACGGAGGGAGUAGAAA
rfam:Triticum aestivum genome assembly, contig: Triticum_aestivum_CS42_TGACv1_scaffold_414781_5BL